GACGAACGCUGGCGGCGUGCUUAACACAUGCAAGUCGAACGGGGAUCAUAGAUUAGCUUGCUAAAUUAUGAUUUUAGUGGCGGACGGGUGAGUAACGCGUGAGGACUUGUCCAUUGCAGGGGGACAACAGUUAGAAAUGACUGCUAAUACCCCAUAAGCCUUCGGGUAAAAGGAGAGAUCCGGCAAAGGAGAGACUCGCGUUCCAUCAGCUAGUUGGUGAGGCAAUGGCUCACCAAGGCAAAGACGGAUAGCCGGACUGAGAGGUUGGCCGGCCACAUUGGAACUGAGACACGGUCCAGACUCCUACGGGAGGCAGCAGUGGGGAAUAUUGGGCAAUGGGGGAAACCCUGACCCAGCGACGCCGCGUGAGUGAAGAAAUCCUUCGGGAUGUAAAGCCUCUGUUGUAUGGGAAGAGAAGCAGACGGUACCAUACGAGGAAGCCCCGGCAAACUACGUGCCAGCAGCCGCGGUAAUACGUAGGGGGCGAGCGUUGUUCGGAAUUACUGGGCGUAAAGCGCACGCAGGCGGCAUGUUAAGUCAGUUGUCAAAGGCGGAGGCUCAACUUCCGUUCCACAACUGAUACUGGCAGGCUAGAGUAUGUGAGAGGGAAGCGGAAUUCCUGGUGUAGCGGUGAAAUGCGUAGACAUCAGGAGGAACACCGGUGGCGAAGGCGGCUUCCUGGCACAAAACUGACGCUCAUGUGCGAAAGCCGGGGAAGCGAACGGGAUUAGAUACCCCGGUAGUCCCGGCCGUAAACGAUGGAUAUUGGGUGUGGGGCAAGCAGUUGUUCCGUGCCGUAGUUAACGCGUUAAAUAUCCCGCCUGGGAAUACGGUCGCAAGACUGAAACUCAAAGGAAUUGACGGGGGCCCGCACAAGCGGUGGAGCACGUGUUUAUAAUUCGAUGCAAACCGAAGAACCUUACCUGGGCUUGACAUAUACGUGGUAUUGAAGUGAAAGCGGAGAGACCCUAGAUUACUAGGGAGCGUAAACAGGUGCUGCAUGGCUGUCGUCAGCUCGUGUCGUGAGAUGUUGGGUUAAGUCCCGCAACGAGCGCAACCCCUGCGGUCGGUUGCUAACAGGUCAAGCUGAGCACUCCGGCAGGACUGCCGCCGACAAGGCGGAGGAAGGUGGGGACGACGUCAAGUCAUCAUGGCCUUUAUGCCCAGGGCGACACACGUGCUACAAUGGCCGGCACAGAGGGAAGCUAGCCCGCGAGGGACGGCGGAUCCUGCAAAGCCGGUCCCAGUUCGGACUGCAGUCUGCAACUCGACUGCACGAAGCCGGAAUCGCUAGUAAUCGCAGAUCAGCCAAGCUGCGGUGAAUACGUUCCCGGGCCU
rnacentral:rRNA from 1 species